GCCUUGACAUGUCUGGAAUCCUGUAGAGAUACGGGAGUGCCUUCGGGAAUCAGAACACAGGUGCUGCAUGGCUGUCGUCAGCUCGUGUAGUGAGAUGUUGGGUUAAGUCCCGCAACGAGCGCAGCCCCUGUCCUUUGUUGCCAGCACGUAAUGGUGGGAACUCAAGGGAGACUGCCGGUGAUAAACCGGAGGAAGGUGGGGAUGACGUCAAGUCAUCAUGGCCCUUACGGCCAGGGCUACACACGUGCUACAAUGGCGCGUACAGAGGGCUGCAAGCUAGCGAUAGUGAGCGAAUCCCAAAAAGCGCGUCGUAGUCCGGAUCGGAGUCUGCAACUCGACUCCGUGAAGUCGGAAUCGCUAGUAAUCGCAAAUCAGAAUGUUGCGGUGAAUACGUUCCCGGGCUUUGUACACACCGCCCGUCACACCAUGGGAGUGGGUUGCACCAGAAGUAGAUAGCUUAACCUUCGGGAGGGCGUUUACCACGGUGUGAUUCAUGACUGGGGUGAAGUCGUAACAAGGUAACUGUAAGGGC
rnacentral:rRNA from 1 species